CCUGCCUGUAAGACUGGGAUAACUCCGGGAAACCGGGGCUAAUACCGGAUGGUUGUUUGAACCGCAUGGUUCAAACAUAAAAGGUGGCUUCGGCUACCACUUACAGAUGGACCCGCGGCGCAUUAGCUAGUUGGUGAGGUAACGGCUCACCAAGGCAACGAUGCGUAGCCGACCUGAGAGGGUGAUCGGCCACACUGGGACUGAGACACGGCCCAGACUCCUACGGGAGGCAGCAGUAGGGAAUCUUCCGCAAUGGACGAAAGUCUGACGGAGCAACGCCGCGUGAGUGAUGAAGGUUUUCGGAUCGUAAAGCUCUGUUGUUAGGGAAGAACAAGUACCGUUCGAAUAGGGCGGUACCUUGACGGUACCUAACCAGAAAGCCACGGCUAACUACGUGCCAGCAGCCGCGGUAAUACGUAGGUGGCAAGCGUUGUCCGGAAUUAUUGGGCGUAAAGGGCUCGCAGGCGGUUUCUUAAGUCUGAUGUGAA
rnacentral:rRNA from 2 species